UUUGCUCUUUCCUUUAUUUGGAAGCUCCUGUUCCCUUCCCCUUUCUUCCUUAUCUUUUCUUCACUUUUCAUUUUGACUCUCUCUCAAUUAACACUACUUUUUCUUCUGCUAUUCUCUGGAAGCUUCCUGAACAUGUUCUGUUUUUCUACUUUCGUCCUAGUCUCUCAAACCCUUUUAUUGAUAGACUCUGCAAGUUUAUUCUCUUUCUUCUCUCUUUGUUUUCACUCUCCACUAUUUCUCAACAGCAGGGUGCUCCUUGGUCAGUCUGUCUUCUUUCUGUUUCCGCUAUCGACAUUAUUUCACCAGCGACAUCCUCCGUGAUCGGAUUUCUUUGUGGCUGCUCUUCUUUCUUACUGAUUGAUGACUCUUUCUAUAGUCGAAGGUGGAAUACAAAACAAGGAAGAGAAGGAUAGCUAUAGGUUAAGAGGUUCAAAUUUUUUAAUAUUUUAUUUUUAUUAAUAAUUAAUUAUUUAUUUAUAUUAAAUGUAAUUAUGUAAGAUUGAUUGAUGUGAAAUUUGCAGAAAGAAAAAUUUUUGAGGUAUUAAUAUAACGUGAGGUUUGUAAUUUUUUACCUCUUGUUAAACAUUAGAUUUGUUGUUUUAUAUUUAUAUAUUUAUGAUGUCAUUUAUGUAUAGAUAUUUGUUUGUUUAAAUUUAUUUUUUUAUUUUAAUAUUAAUAUCUAUGUUUUAUAUUAAAUACAAUCAUAGGGGGUUAAUAGAUGACUCUUAUAAUUGAAGAUGGAGAUAUAAAAUAAAGAAGAUAAAAAAAAUUGUUGGUUUGAAUGUUUGAAUUUUUUAUAUAUAUAUUUUAAUUUUUUAAUUAAUAUUUAUUUAUUUAUUUAUAUUAGAUUCGAUCAAGAAUGAUUGAUGAAAAAUUUAUAAAAAGAAAAAAAAUUUAGUAAUUUUUUUUAAAGUAAUAUGAUGUGAAGUAUGUAUUUUUUGAUUUUUUUUGUUAAUGUUUAUUACCUAUUGUUAGAUCUUUUAAUUAUAAGUUGUGUUUUGUUGUUUCAUUAUUUAUAUAUUUAUAAUUUUAUUUAUGGAUGAAUAUUUGUUUUAUAGCAGAUGGUGGACAUAAAAAAAAUAAGAGAAGGUUAGCUAUGGGUUUUGAGGUUUAAAAUUUUUUAUUUUUAAAAUUUUUUAUUAAUAUUAAGUUUGCAUUUUUUGAUGUUUGUUUCUUGUUGAUAGGUGUUCUAACUAUGAGUUGGAUUUAUUAUUUCAUCAUUUAUAUAUUUAUAAUUUCAUUCAUGUAUAAGCAUUUGUUGUUCAAAUUUUUUAUUUUUUUAUUUUGUUAUUAAUAUUUAUUAUUCUAUAUUAAAUGCAAUCAUGCAAGUUGAUCGAUGACUUCUUUUACAGUCGAAAGUGGAGAUAUAUGAAAUGAUGUGAAUAAUAUUACCUUUGUACUACUACCAAACCCAAAGUGCAUGAAUUGUGCCUGGGCAUAAUAGUGAUUGAUAUUAAGAAUAAAUGAAGAUAUAGUUGAAUUAUGAAAUUUUGGUACCUUGGUCAUGUUCAUCUUAAGAGUGAAUUAAGGAGUGCAUGCGUAACUAUACUAAAUUUGGCUACUGGAUUUGUGAUAGUGUGAAAGUUCAUGAUGAAAAUAGUAAGCUUGUAAAAGUUAGACCAUUAGAGUGAUGUCUUUUUGAGGCCUUUCGCAUUUCAAAAUGGAAACGGAGAUGGAUGGUUAUAGAUUCUAUAUAUACGCAAACUAGAACCCAAGAAAGAGAAAUGAUGGCAUUGGAAUGAAUAGAAAUAAGUAAACUUGAAAUGAUGUUACAAAUCUUGCACAAUAUAUGGUUGGUGGAAAUGGAAAAUAUUGUUCUUUAAUAAUGUCACUAGGAACAUAGGUGUCUUGACUUGCCACAAUGUGAUAUUUUUAGAAUGAUCAUCACUAGUUUGGUUUUCAAAUCAAACACUUUGUCAAAGGUUUGCAAGGAUGGUGGUAACAUUUUUCCUAUAAAUGAUUCAAUAGUUAUCAUUAAACAUCACUGGGUAGGGAUGGUGGUAAGCAAGCGCAAUGGUCAUUGUCUUGCUUGUGAUUCUUGCAUGCACCAAUUGUGAUAAAGAGAAUUGAGAUUGGGCAACCAAUGAUAACUAAGCCCAUAGUGUAUUGCACUUUUAGAUGUCAUUGAGUAUAGGGUAGUGGAAUGUCUUGAGAAGACAAGUUGAAGAACCCAAUCCAAGAGAAAAACUUUUGUAUAUGCAAUAUGAUGUAAUCAAAUGAGUGAUGAGUAGUUUAGAAAAUUCGAGGACGAAUUUUCUUGAGAAGGGAGAAUGAGAAACCUUAACUUUUCAUUUGAAUGGAAUUUGAUGAAUGUUGAAUAUUUAAUGAGCUAUAUUUGAUUGUGUUAUUGGAUGGGCUUUCCCAACCAAUUUUCUUUAAAUUUAUCUUUCAUAUGGUGUUUUAAUUAUGGAAGUUUUUAGACUUAAAAUAGCUUUUGGAAGUAAGGAGGAUCGACUCUUGAAAGAGAAGGGUUGAUCCCUAGAAAACAGGACAAAAUAAAAAGCCCUAACUUAAUCUUUACUUCUUAUUUUUCAUUUCUUAAGCCUUCAUUCACUCUCUAAUAGCCUCAAAACCACUUUUACAACCAUUCGAUAUCCUAUUUAGCAAGGAAUCAACUUUCUAAACUCGAAUCUAAGGUGAGAUUUAUCAUUUUCAUGUUUUGGAAACCAUGGGUUUAACCUAACACCUUUUUGUACGAAUUCGAACUCAUUUAAUCCUUCAUUAAACUCGAAUCUAAUUGCCCUUGAACCAAUUGGAUUGGUCAACAAAUAUAUAUUACCAUUUAAUACAUAUUUAAUUACUUAACUAUAUGUGAUAGAGGUUUUUUUUCAUAUUAGUACAAUAAUAAGAAAUUAUUAAGUGUUAAUUGGAUUAAGCCCAUGGAACAUAUAAGUUUUGCAAGAGAAUUGUAAAGUUGUUAUAAUUAUGAGAUCUUUAUGCAUCAAAGUCAUGUUUCUAAAAUAAUUUUUGAUUAUUGUAUUGUCAACAUAGGGUAUUGACAAUGCUCAAAGAUUGAUACAUGUUAAGUUUCUUUACUUGAGAAGUAAGUAAAAGAUCUUAUAAAUUGAAGUAUAUGAGAUACUUAAGGAUGACAUGUGGGUGCUUAUUAGAGAACAAAUUUACUGAACAUGACCCACUGUGAGAACCCCAUUUGGUAUUUCACUAAGAUGUCUAUGGAAUAUGUUCUUAUGUUACAGUCAUGUUAUCAAUCCUUGAACUUGAGAUCCCAAGUCAUCUUUUAUGAGGAAAGACAUUUAGAUUUCACUUUUAUGGGUUUGGAGGCGAUUAGAUGUCUAAACAAAGUCUUUUUAGGUGUGCCGCAAGGCAUGCUAAGGUGGAUGAGUUAUUAAGAGAGGAUUUAACGCCUUAAGUGAUAUGAGGAGAUAUAUCUCACUUGUUCUCAACUUUAAAUUAACUUAUAUAAAGUCUUUGGUCAAAACAUAAUGAAUUUGAGGAAAGUUAGUUUCCUAAAUUCAUAAGGUUAGUCAUGAAUUACAAAAACUAAUAUGGAAUGUCAUAAGUAGACACUGAGUCAUGCUUUAUGACAUUUGAUAUAUUUGAUAAAAGGACCGUAUUGCAUUGAGAGACUUAUCACUAAAUGUUUUUGUCAAAUUUUUUAAUUGACUGUUUAAUAUUUGAGUUGUCAUGAUGUGUUGUUAAAUAUCGCUCAUGAUCUACAAAUAUAAAUUAAUUAAUAAAUUGAUAUUUGAUUAUGAUUUAUAUUUAUUACGGACAUGUUAGAAGCGUAAUGGGUCACACACAUUAAGUGACAUGAUUGAGAUUAAAGAGAGAUAAUUAAUUCAGUUAGACUUGAUUGAAAUAGAUCAAAAUAAAGUGAAAAAUAUAAGUUCACAAAGACUUAAAUUGAAUAGAAAUAAAAAUGUUGUAUCUAGGGUUACAACUUAGUUUGGCUAUAUAAAUAUGUUAUGUUAAGCAACUAAAACUUGAAGCUUUAAGCCACUUUUUAGCAGAUUCAUAAAAUAAGAAAAGAACAAUAAAUUUUUUGUCCGACAAAAAUAAGGUUUGGCUAGGGUUUUUGGUUUUUGUUUCUUUAAAAACAAAACUUGCAAUAGAACAAGUAAAAUAAAUCUUAUCUCUGAGAAGGUCUUAUUUGUUUACUGUAUGGAUUAUCGUUAGAGGCUAAACACUUGGGUGGCGGAAGAUUUAACAAAUCUUAAAAGUGAAGAAGCAAAGAUUUCAACUGUAAGAUUUCAGAUUGUUUUAUUCUCUUUGUGGGUUUCUUACUUCCUCAAAAGCUUUUUGGAUUUCAUUAGCUCUCGAGUACGAUAUUUGGAGCAAGGUAUGUAAUACUUGAAUUUAUGAGCAUUCAUAACUAAUAUGAAAAUUGCAUGAAAAACACAUAAUUUUUCUAAGGGAUUCGACUGGUUGUUUGAUUAAAUGUAUUAUCUUAUUUUUUCGUUAUGUUAUGCUUUUAAUUCAUUGAUUAAUUUCAUGUUUGAACAUGAGGUUGAAUCCCAACAUUUUACAAUUCAAAGAUGUUAAGUUAUGGAUGUUUAAGGCUGCUCCAUAAAUAAUUUAAGUUUGAAGUUUUGAAUAUUGUUGAAAUUGAAAUGAAAAAUAUUUGAUUACUUGACUAGUUUCGAAGGUGUGUUUGCUGGAGACUAUGAGAUUUAUAAUAGGAUUUAUUGUGCUAGGUGAUUGUUAGAGCUCGAGAUUGUAAAACGAGCAAAGUUAUGUGAUUUGGAGCUUAGAAAAAUAUACUUCUUGUCAAGGUGAAUGGUUACACCUCUUUCACUAUUUUACUAUGUAAAGUGAGCAUGUUUUAUGAGCUAUUUACCUUUGCAUGAUUUUUAUGUCAUUGGUAAAAAUGUUGGUUGUGAGAAUUAUGUUCAAACUUUUUCAAAAAUGUUUUGAACUUACCAUGAGCCUGUUUUGCUUGAUUUUUUUUAGCUUAAAAGCUAUUAUGAAGUUUUAAUGAAAAAUAAUAGAUUUUAAAAUUACGUUAAAAUUGCUUGAUAAAUUUACUUUUAUAAACUCUUUUUUAUACAUAAGCUAUUUGGUAAAAUAAUUUAUAUUAGCUCUAAUUUCGGUUAAAAUUAUUAUAAGAGGUAAUGUUGAGAUUAUUUUUAAUAGAUGAAGAUAUUUUUGAAAUAAAAAGAAAAAUUCUCUUUAAAAGUUGACAUGUUUUUAAAAGAAGAGAAAAAAAGAGCAAGCUCCUCUUUGGAGCUUUUUUUAAAGAUUUUGUCCUUAAAAAAAAGAUUUUUUUUUUUUAAAAGUUUCUCAAAAUCUUGUUGGGCCUGACUUUUUCUUUUAAUAAAUAGAUAAGCGAAAAAAAAGCUAAGCCAAAUAGGCACUAUAUAUGUAAAUGGUACAAUGUAUUAGUUUUGGACAAGAAGGGACAAGCCCUGUCAAAUGAUUUCUCUUCAAAUAUUCCUCAAUGAUAUGGUCAACAUGGAAUUGACAUUUAAACAUAAAAUGAUGUGUACAUCCUCUUGUAUGAAAUUGAUACGAAAAUAUUAAUGAUAAUGGGCUAUGUGAGCAUUGGUUUUACUUGAUUGAGCAUGAAAUUACCCAUUGGUAUGUGCACUUGUAAAUGUGUGUAUGGUUAUGUUGAGUUGACUGUAUGCUUGAAAUGGUUAUAUUGAUGAAUUGUGGAGAUUAUGAAGUGAAGGGGUGUAUACAAAGGGUUUAAAUUCUAAAUUCUUCAUGUUGCAACAUGAUACAAUGCAUAUGGGGUGUAAAUGGAGGGCCCUAGACCAUCGAGGCACUGAUGACUUGGACAAUAUAAAGGUGUAGACAGAGGGUCUGUCACAGCCCAAUCUUGAGCCGUGACCAAUGCAUGAACCCAAUAGGCAUAACCCACUGGACCUAAGCAAGCCUUUUUAUAUGAAUCUGUACAUUAGUCUAUCUAUCAUCUAUAUUUCUUUGGGAUCUAUAACUCGUAAUAUUGAAUUGAUAAUUUCUUUGAAAACAAUUCAUAAAACCCAAAUUAUAUUCAUAAUAGCAUCAUUAAUCAAAAUAUACAUAGAUAGUUUGCCAAAUGAAUCUUACAAUUCACAUUAAACAUACAUGUACAUAUGCAAGGACCCUAACCGUUAGCAGAGCGACUCUGAGCGUGGAUGCUAACGUUUAGUGUCAUGGCAAAUUUACUAAAAAUGGAUGAGAAUGAGUACCUCAAUCUAGGAUUCAAUUUACUCUAAUUCAGAGAAUCUAAAACAUGAAGUUUAAAAGAAUGAGUAUAAACUUAGUAAGUGAACAUAAGAAGAGAACAAGCACCAAUACGGGAAGUUCUUGAAAUCAUGAUGCACUUAUGUCGAAAACAAUGCAAUUUAGUUUAAUUUCUUGUUAAAAUGCCUCAAUUCAACCCUUGAUUAUUUAGUGCCUUAGUAUUGAAAGAUCCAUGAUCAACAAUGAAGUUAAAAAGUGAAAACUAUGGUAGAGUCCAAGCAAGGCAAGCAUGGCAGAGUGAAUCUUGCUGCAACGAAAUUUAGGGCAAAGUUUUGAACCAACCACCCAAGAGUUUCUUGCUGUAGUGAGAAUGAAUUUUGCUGUAGCGAAAACUCGGGCAAGUAUUUUACCCAACCACCCGAGAGUUUUUCGCUACAGCCAGAAUGCAUUUUUGCCGUAGUGAAAAUUUGGGCUAGUCAAGACCUCAGCACCCAAGAGUUUCUUGCUGUAGCGAGAAUGAAAUUUCGUUGCAACGAGAAACAGGGCAAUGAAAUUAAAAGAAUUCUUGUCAUAACGAAAAUCUAUUUUUGCUGCAGUGAAAAUCAAUUGAAAAGCAUUUAUCGAAUUUUAACAUUCAAGAAUCAAUGCAAUCACAAUAUAUUUUUCAUAACCUCUCUAUAUGUAACUUAUAUAAACAUACAUACGACCACCAGCAUCACCCCAACUUUCCUUCAGCUCUUGCAUUCUCAUAUCGCACAUAGCUGGGUUAUCAUCAGCUCAUGUGCACUCUCACACCGCAUAUAGAUAGGUCAUCAUUAUCACACAAUAGUAUCAUUCAAUGCAUAAUAUACAUUUCAACAUAAUGUGGGAACACAUGAACUAAUCACAUUGCACAUUUCACAAUAUAAAAACAUUUCAUCAAGGGCUUUUUCCUUAGGUAUAAUUUAAAGCAAAAAACAAAUAAGAUUUUCAAAUGAUUCAUUCAAACACAAGUAUUUCCCAAAACAAUUUAUUUGCAGGUUCACUCACUUGUCUUUGUGGAUUCUUUAAUCGACUCCAACUUCCACUAAUGCUCCAAGUGAAAAUGUGGGGUCUUGUUGGAACCUAUUGCACACAAUAGCAUCAUACCAACUCAAUUUACAUGAAUAUUAUUUCGAAAGUUGUUUCCUAAAUCUAGUUUUUUUUAACUAGUCGUUCCUAACUAGCUCUCAAUUACCAUUUGACUGGCUAUUCAUUUACACUACUCUAGUCACACUAUAAAUAAAUAAAUAACCUUCAAUAAAUAAAUAGUCUACAAUUAAUUAUUUACCAUCAUCAACAACUUAAAAAUCAACCCUAACUCAUUAUUCACCUUAGUGAAUUUGUAGUUGAAUUCCUUUUUCAAGAGUUUUUCAAGCUAUUAUGGAAAGUCUCCCUCUCUUUCUAAAACGUUUAGCUAGUGAUAGAAAGUGCUGAAGAAAGACCUUUGAGAGUUUUUAAGGUGAAAGGGUGAAAUAGUAAGAAAAAUCCUAUGGAAAGGUGUAUAAAAACAUGAGAAUUGAAGUUACCAUGAGAGAGUUAUGGAGGUUUCAAGGGAGGCUUCCAUGGAAGAUGGAAAUCGUGAAAUGAGGAGAAGAGAUGGAAGGAAGAAAAAGCUGUUGGAAAUAAGGAGAAGUUGCUGGAGAAUUAGAUAUUUAUGCUUAAAGUUGACUAAAGUUCUCUUUAUUUGCAAAAAUGCCAUUGCAUAGUUGACUUUGCCUUCUUCUUUUCUUUGGCUCAAACUUUUUACUCUUUUGAUAUUGAGAAAAGGUCCAUAAUAGAUUAGGGGUACUCAAGUUCAUGAAAACUUAAAAAUUUAGACUUGAGACCUAAAAUAACCAUUUUACCCCUAUCGUGGAAUUUAUCAUUAUUUCUAUUUUCUUUGCUUAUUUCAUUAUUAUAUACAUCAUUCAUUUAUUCCUUAAGCCUACUUAGGCUUUAAUAAUAUUAGAAACUCCACUUCUAGGAGCUUAUCAAUAAAAUGACGUAAUUACCCUUAGUUCAUGUUAUCGUGUCUAUUUCUAGUUACGUGUCUAUAGAGGUUGAGGUUUCACAAUGAUGCCUUGGACAUGAUGGUCGACCAUGGGAUAAGGAUGAAGUUUCAAAGCUUCCUUUGUAAGCUUUGACCAAGCUUUAUGGAAAAAUUAUCGUUCUGCCUUCCAAGGUUUUCAUCCUUUCAAUUAAGUCCUUCGUCUUAUCGAUUCAGUUAUGUUGACUACUACACAAGGGUACAAGGUAUUACAAGGUUCUAGUCCUUCAACAUGAUAUGUGAUAUGUGACAACGAAGUGUAGAUGGAGAGCUCCAGUCCACGAUGUUUGUGUCAAUGGAAGGACAAUUAUGUUAUUAUGUGUUGAGGCAUAACUUAUACAACAUGUGUACGAUGAAAUUGUGAUGAAAUGAAUACUAUUAUGUGAAUGCUUGAUGGUUUACAAAUUAUGUACGUAUGUGAUGCAUGGUAGAUCCUAACAAGGAUCUUAUGUAUGAUUCAAGUAUUGGUAUUUUAUUAACCAUAGAUCGGAUUUAAGAACUAAGUACCAAAACCUUUGCGAGGGAUCCGAUACUCCAAGUAAAAUGUGAUAUCCUUGUUUUGCAUAGAAAGGUUUUCACAAGUACUUAAUCUUUUAUUUAUAAAUGUGUUUAUGAAAAAUGGAAUUUUGAUUAAAGAAAGUUGUUUGUUUACAACAAUCUCAUUUUCAAGGAUUUGAAUUAGAAAGCUAAGAUUAUGUCAAAAAUGCAUGUUUACGAUAAAUAUGUGAUUUGUGCAAAAAGUCUUCCCCUUGGCUUGUCUUCUUUUCGUAUUUACUCACGGAGUUUUUGUGACUCAUUAGCUAGUUUCCUUUAUUUUUGUUUUACAUAUCAGUAGCUCACUUGGCUUGGUGCCUUGUGGAAGAGUAGCUUAGCUCAUACUUGGAAGGUGUGAUAGUGCUUUCCUUCUAGCCCUCUAGUGUUGUUACACUUCGUAGAGUGUUGAGUCGAGUCUUAAAUAUUCAUGUUGAUGUUGAUACUUGAUUUUGUAAAUAAGUGUUAGUGUAAACGUAUGAGUAAAGUAUACCAAGAGGGGGUGAACGAAUAUUUAUAAAAACUUAUUUGAAAAUUUAGUUAUCAAGAUCAAAACUUUUUCACCCAAAAAUAUUUUCUAGCAUUAAAAACAGUUUUCCAAUAAUCAAUCACUUAAGCUCAAAAAUAAUAUAUCAAGAUAAAAUAUUUUUCCUAAGUUAAUUCUAGCUAUGAAAAGUAAAAAGAAAAAUAUUUUUCUCAAUGUAAAACAAUAAAUCAAUAUAAAACUAUUUUCCUAAGGCAAAUAUAAGUAACAACUAAUUAUGUGGAAAAUUAAAGAGAGACAUGAAGAAUUUAUAAUAUUCAUCUUUUUUGAUACCUACAUCCACUUCCUUGGUAACCAAGGAAUUGCAAUCUACUAUCAAGGAUUUUUGUUUUUUAACGGGAUCAAGCGACAAACCUUACAACGGCUUUUUCAUGGGAUCAAGUGAUAACCUUUACACAAUCCACAAAAGGAUCCUUGCUUUUUAACGAGAUCAAGCGAUAAUCCAUCAACAAUGAUUUUUAGGGACUCAAUCACUAACCCUCGCAAAUAGCUUUUUAAGGUUAAGUUAAAAGCUUUAGAAGAUGUGUGUACAAAGGAGUAAUAGCAAAGAUUUGCCUCACAUAGGCUAUAUGUUAGAGAUUCUGGCUUGGAUUUAGUGAGAGAAGGAAAAUUAGCUCAAAUGAAGCAAGUAUUCAACUUUGUAAGCUUGGUGGAAGACUAAAAUGAUGCUAGAGAGUGAAUAUGUGCUUUUGGAGGUUUCUCUCAAGUUUGAAGCUUUGGUUCAGGUCUUCUUUUGCUUCCAAAUAGAUCAAAUGCGACUAUUUAUAGCUGUGUUGAAGUUUAGAACUGUUAGACACAAGAUUGAAUCAAAUCUGACCAUUGUUGAAGCUUGAAGGUCGACUACAACGCUUAUAGGGUUGACUAUGUUUGUGAAACCCUGACCUCUAUAGAUACGUGACUAGAGGUAGACUGAUGAGUGUAUCAAACUCACAUAUUUAAUGGGAGAUUAAAUACCUAAUUAGUCUAAGUUAGACUAGAUUUAGGAUUGAAUUUAGGUAUUUUUAUUUAUUUUAUUAGUUGAAUUUAAUUUAUGUUCGAAUGUUUAUUUUAAGUUAAUAAUGUUAGUUUUACGUUAGCUAUAUUUAUUUUAUGUUUUUAUAGGAGUAAUAUCAAAAAAUAAUUUCAAUUGGUGAAGAAAGGUGCAUAAUGGACUGUUGCUCUAUUUGCACAUGUUUCAGUUUUUCAAGCAUAUCUCCCAUUACAGAAGUCCAAAUGACAUGAUUUUUAGACCAUUAGAAAGCUAAGAGGCAGGGUUACAACUUUGCCCAGUUCUGAUUAGAAGGUAGUCAAAAUAUUUGUUAAAGUGAAAGCAUUACACUAGAAGAGCAAAAAGGGCAUUUUUGUAAAUUUUGUGAAACUUUGACUAACUUUAGAGAUAAAUAUCUAAUUUUCAAGCUGCUUCUUCUCACUUUCAACAGUUUCUUCUCCUUCUUCCCAUCUCUUUUCCCCAUCUCAAGUUCUCCAACUUCCAUGGCAACUUCCUUAGAAACUUCUAUGAUUUUUCGCAUGGUAACCCCAAAUCUUAUGUUUUUAUACACCUUGUCAUAGGAUUUUUCAUGCUCUUUCAUUUUUACACCUUUAGAACCCUAAAAAAUCUUUCCUCCAUACUUUCGCUCACUGGCUAGACAUUUUAGAGAGAGAGAGAGAUAGACUUUCCAUAAUAGCUUGACAAACUCUUGGAAAGGAAUUCAACUACAAAACCACUAAGGUGAGUAAUGAUAUUAGGGUUUAUUUUGAGUUGUUGAUGAUGGCCAAUAACUAGGUUUGUGGGCUGAUUUAUUACUGAAGGUUAUUUAACCAUGUCUAGUGUGAACAAUGACUACAUAAAUGAUAAUUGGAAGCUAGUUAAGAAUAACAAGUAGAGCUUGAUUUAAAAAAUAGCUUUUAGAAUUGUAUUUAUGCAAAUUGGGUUGGUAGUGAUGUUGUGUGUGUGUGAUAGGUUCCAANNNNNNNNNNNNNNNNNNNNNNNNNNNNNNNNNNNNNNNNNNNNNNNNNNNNNNNNNNNNNNNNNNNNNNNNNNNNNNNNNNNNNNNNNNNNNNNNNNNNNNNNNNNNNNNNNNNNNNNNNNNNNNNNNNNNNNNNNNNNNNNNNNNNNNNNNNNNNNNNNNNNNNNNNNNNNNNNNNNNNNNNNNNNNNNNNNNNNNNNNNNNNNNNNNNNNNNNNNNNNNNNNNNNNNNNNNNNNNNNNNNNNNNNNNNNNNNNNNNNNNNNNNNNNNNNNNNNNNNNNNNNNNNNNNNNNNNNNNNNNNNNNNNNNNNNNNNNNNNNNNNNNNNNNNNNNNNNNNNNNNNNNNNNNNNNNNNNNNNNNNNNNNNNNNNNNNNNNNNNNNNNNNNNNNNNNNNNNNNNNNNNNNNNNNNNNNNNNNNNNNNNNNNNNNNNNNNNNNNNNNNNNNNNNNNNNNNNNNNNNNNNNNNNNNNNNNNNNNNNNNNNNNNNNNNNNNNNNNNNNNNNNNNNNNNNNNNNNNNNNNNNNNNNNNNNNNNNNNNNNNNNNNNNNNNNNNNNNNNNNNNNNNNNNNNNNNNNNNNNNNNNNNNNNNNNNNNNNNNNNNNNNNNNNNNNNNNNNNNNNNNNNNNNNNNNNNNNNNNNNNNNNNNNNNNNNNNNNNNNNNNNNNNNNNNNNNNNNNNNNNNNNNNNNNNNNNNNNNNNNNNNNNNNNNNNNNNNNNNNNNNNNNNNNNNNNNNNNNNNNNNNNNNNNNNNNNNNNNNNNNNNNNNNNNNNNNNNNNNNNNNNNNNNNNNNNNNNNNNNNNNNNNNNNNNNNNNNNNNNNNNNNNNNNNNNNNNNNNNNNNNNNNNNNNNNNNNNNNNNNNNNNNNNNNNNNNNNNNNNNNNNNNNNNNNNNNNNNNNNNNNNNNNNNNNNNNNNNNNNNNNNNNNNNNNNNNNNNNNNNNNNNNNNNNNNNNNNNNNNNNNNNNNNNNNNNNNNNNNNNNNNNNNNNNNNNNNNNNNNNNNNNNNNNNNNNNNNNNNNNNNNNNNNNNNNNNNNNNNNNNNNNNNNNNNNNNNNNNNNNNNNNNNNNNNNNNNNNNNNNNNNNNNNNNNNNNNNNNNNNNNNNNNNNNNNNNNNNNNNNNNNNNNNNNNNNNNNNNUAUAAAACAUAUAUAUAUAUAUAUAUAUAUAUAUAUAUACAUACAUCAUCAUGCAUACCAUCCCGCCACACUCAGCUUAUGUGCACUCCCACACCGCACAUAGUUGGGUCAUCAUUAGCUCAUGUGCACUCUUACACCGCACAUAACUGGGUCAUCAUUAUCACACAAAAAGAGCAUCCAAAGCAUAAUGUACGUAUCAAUAUAAUAUGAUAAUGCAUGAACUAUUCAUAUUGCACAUUUCAUAAGAUAGAAACAUUUCAUCAAGGGCUUGUUCCCCAAGUAUAUAUAUUUUUUAAAGCAAAAACAAAUGAAUCUUUCAAAUGAUUUAUUUAAACAUGUAGGCACUUCCCAAAACAUUUUGAAAUGCAAGUUCACUCACCGGUAUUUGUUGAAUCUUAGAUUGACUCCAACUUCCAUUAAUGCUCCAAAUGGAGAUGUGGGGUCUCGUUGGAACUUAUCACACAGAAUAGCAUUACAAAUUAACUCAAUUCACAUAACCAUAAUUCUAAAAGCUUUCUCUUAAUUCAUGUUCUACUAGUUAUUCCUAAUUAGCUUACAAUUGCCAUUAAGUGGCUAUUUACUUUUUUUAUUCUAAUAACAUUAAAGAUGAAUAAAUAACCUCAACUACAAAACAUUCACAAAUCUAUCUACUAGCCAUUCUCAACAACUUAAAAAUCAACUUUAAUUCACUACUCACCUUGGUAGCUUUGUAAUUGAAUUCCUUUCCAAAAAUUUUCAAGCUAUUAUAGAAGCCCUCUCUUUCUCUCUCUAAAACACCUAGCUGGUGAGAGGAAGUAUGGAAGCAAGAUAUUAUAAGGGUUUUAAGGUGAGAGAGUAAAAGAGCACAAAAAGUUCUAUGAAAAAGUGCACAAAAGUAUGAAAAUUGGGGUUAACUUGAGAGAAUUUAUGGGGGUUUCAAAACAAGCUUCCGUGGAGGAUGAAAGAAAUGUGAGAUGGGAGGAAGAAGAAGAAGAAGCAGCUGAAAAAUGAAAUUUAUAGCUAAAGCUUAUCCAAACUUCACUUAAAUUACGAAAAUGCCCUUAACAAGUUGGCUUUGUCUUCCUCUAAUCUUUUGUGCAAUCUUUUUACUCUUUUGACACUGAGAUAAAGUCCAUAAUAGUUUAGAAAUACUCGGGUUCACGAAAAUUUAAAAAUUUCUACUCAAGAUAAAAAUGACCAUUUUGCCUUUACCUUAAAAAUCAUCAUUAUUUUUAUUUUCUUCGUCAUUUUAUCCUCAUUUUCAUCAUUCAUUUAUUCCUUAGGCCUACUUAGGUCUUAAAAAUAUUAGAAAACCCAUUUUUAAGAGCUCACUAAAGAAAAUGAUGAAAUUACCCCUAGUCCAUGUUAUGGUGUCUACUUCUAACUACAAGUCUAUAAAAAUCAAGGCCUCACAUUCUCCCCCACUAAAAGAAAUUUGGUCCUCGAAUUUAAAUCGAACUAUAAGACAGCGCAACUAUAUGCAUUGAAGAGGUGUGGAUACUUGUCCGUAACUCCUCUUUGGCCUCCCACAUUACCUCUUCACUAGUGUGGUUUCGACAUAAUGCUUUCACAAGGCUACAUCCUUUGAGCGGAGCUUUUGACUUGUCUAUUAAGAAUAGUAGCAACUGGUUGCUCCUCAUAUGUUGAAUCAUUAUUAACGAAGUUAAGUUUCAUCUUCUAAAUCAAUUCCUCCAAUUACUUGCAUUAGGGUACUAUCAUCGUUUAUUCUCCAUCUGUGGCACUAGUGCUUCGUAGAAGUCUAAUUUAACUAUGAUAGAACACUUCCUGAAUCCUUACAUCUUAAUCAUAUUAAUCCAUUGGUAUGGCUCAACCACAACAUAGAUUCCAAUUCCUUAAUAUCCUUUAUUUCUCUUUUGCUCCUGAAUUCUCCUUUAUUCACUUAGCUCAAUUUCUAAUGGUAACUUUCAUCAUCGUGUCAUCUAUACAACUUAUUAAACAUGUCGAAUUCAAAACUCAAAUCACUAUAAAUAAUUCUUCACUUUAAUUAAUCACAUAAUCAUCUCCAUAUAUAUAUAUAUAUAUAUGUAUGUACAUAUGUCACGAGGGUUUUCUCUUUACACCCAUGCGACGCUCAACCAUGCCCCUUCCUGGGUUGCUUUGGUGGCUAAGCCAGCCUAACCUGAUCAAUGAUGGUUCCCCUUGAUGAGAAUACUGAUGCAGAAGUGAAAUCUCGAACACCGGCAUUCUCAAUCAACCGAGCCCUUGCUUGCUAAGCCCUUAAUUCGCACACUCGUGCCGCUCAUGUAUCGAGCCCUUGCCCUGAGGGCACCACCUCUAGCAGCCCCUAGUCUGGCUGCACGUUACUCUCAGGCACCUCUCUGACCCGCACUCUCACAAACGAGGCAACUGGCACAAAAUAGAAAAGGACACGCAAUAAGGAAGCAAGUAGGAAAAAUGGGUUUUGUAUUUUCACUCAAAAUACAAUUUACAAGGGUGGCCUAAGCCAAGUACACAAUGUGCUGUAGCACCUCAACCUAGCAGCCUUGGCUGACACACACUCUAGCCCCCACAAUGGCCCCCAAGUGCCCAGCUGCUCACUCUCAAGCAGACUCCUCACUGCCCACUUCCCCCUUGGCAAGGUCCCCCAAGGUCCCUUUUAUAGUGGGAAGCCUCCCUUAGCAGUUCCAAGGGGUUCCCAACCGGUUUGGUGCCAUUUAGAGUCUGUUUGGCCAUUCUGACAAGCCUCUGGGCCGUUGGCCAACGGCUAAUCUACUUGUUGGGCUAGCUAGUCUUUCCUGCGCACUCUAGGCCUGUAUAGAAGCCUUCUCUUUCUUUCUCUAAAAUACUUAGCUAGUGAGAAGAAGUAUAAGAGCAAGACAUUUUAAGGGUUUUAAGGUGAGAGAGUGAAAGAGCACAAAAGGUUCUAUGAAAAAGUGCAUAAAAGUAUAAAAAUUGGGGUUAACUUGAUAAAAUUUAUGGAGGUUUCAAAACAAGUUUCCAUGGAGGAUGAAAGAAACGUGAGAUGGGAGGAAGAAGAAGAAGAAGUUGUUGGAAAAUGAUAUUUAUAGCUAAAGCUUAUCCAAACUUCACUUAAAUUAUGAAAAUGGCCUUAACAAGUAGGCUUUGUCUUCCUCCAAUCCUUUGUGCAAUCUUUUUACUCUUUUGACACUGAGAUAAAGUCCAUAAUAGUCUAAAAAUACUCGGGUUCACGAAAACUUAAAAAUUUUGACUCGAGAUGAAAAAUGACCUUUUUACCCAUCUGUCUGUGCCCUAGUUCUGCUUGCUUGCGCUCCUACUCUACCCGCCUACGCCCUAGAGGGGUUUCUGCGCUUGUGCGCCCUACUUUGAGCUCCUUGCAAGCCCCACUGCCUGGGCCUUCUGCACGUUAAAAUUGCCUAUCCCAGUCAUCUGUACACCCAAGCAGGGUCUGGUGGUUGGAGAUCAGCCCCAUCUACGAGCCAUGCCGCCCUCCAUCGAGCCAGCACGCUUAGUGAAACAAAAUGGUCGUGACACAUACACAUUUAAGAAUCAUCAUCCAUCACUAUAUGUAGGAACCCUCGUCAAUUACUUUGAGGUAAAUUUCCUCUAUUCAUUCCAAUCCAUAACCUAUGUUCAUCAUCAUAUUCUCAUAGCUCAUGUUUCCUUUCUUACUUUUCCAUUUCAUUCCCAUAGGUCAAGUUUAAUCCAUGAAUAUUAGGGUAUAAUCAACUCCAUAUUACCCCUUCGAAUGUUUAAAUCACCAUUUACUUUACAUCUUACCAUAAAUUGGUUCUUAUGUAAUCCACACAGAUUCUUAUUGUGCCUAUGCAUAACUUCACAUAAUUUACAUGCUUAUACUAUUUUCUUAUCAUUUCUAAUCAGAUGUGUAAGCUUCACCCUACCGCUCAUCCUUACGCCACAUUGUCAUAAACAUGUCACAAUCACUAAUUAUCAUUUUCAUCAAGUUACCCUCCAGUAUCCAUGUAUGCCUUACUAUUUUGUUGAUCUUUCAAAUUUAUCUUUACUUGAUCAUUACAUUUAUGCUAUACCACAAUCCUUAAAAGUCUUCUUUACUUCGUAAUUGUCUUUUGUACUUCCAACAUAUAUGUUAUAUUCUUAUGUCAUCUCGACAUUACUUAGUCCCAAUUCAUAUUCUUGUAUCCUGACUCUAAAUCAUGGCUUAUUAUCAAAAUCUUUACUUGUACAUGCUUACUUGAAAUAUCAAAUCAUCAUCUCUUUCCCAAGUAGAUCUCUACGAAUCCCGUUGUGUACUACUAUUUCCUCACCAAGGGUAAUAUCGAUUAACUAGAGCAUAUCGCCAUUAUUCAUUAAGCAUUUAAAGCAUAGUUCAAUCCUUGCUUAUCCUUAUCAAGUACUUUACUUUGAUAAUUGCUCAAAAUGAAAUAACAUGUGAAGGAAACACUUUUUGCCAUUGUAUACUCUGCCUCCACAAGCGUAUCAAGACCGUAAUAUUAUCGGGCCUACAUAAUGGCAAGAUAAUCAUUACCUCAAACCAACAUUUCCAAUCAUUCUUAGACUUGCAGUGUAUCUUUGUACUAUGUGACAUAUCAGUCAUGAACACCAACGUCACUAUAUAACUAUUAGCUCCUUGAGCUUUAAUGUUUUCACAUUGUGAGAACCUUUUCAAAUUAUCUCACCAAAGUGUUCACAAAGUGGAUACAAGCCCAUAACUUAUGGUUCAUUGCCUAAAGUAGGGAACACUAUCCCAUCAUUAAAGUUUUAUCUACCAAUCAUAGCUCCCUUGCACAUUUACCUAUACAUUGCUUGGUUGCUCAUGACCCUUUCAUGGCCAUGCCAUUUUAAUCUUUUAUGGCAAGUUAACUAAUAUAUUCUUUUAUGCUUUUCAAUACAUUUUCGAAACACUUAAACACAUCUUUUGGUGGAAUUCAGUUGAAUACUUAAACAAUCAAAAGCUUACCUUCAAAACCACUCAUAACUUUAACAAUCCAAUGAAUGCUCAAUGACAUUCCACCUCAUUGGUUCCAACGAACAUUAUUUUCAAAUCUCCCAAGGCAUCCUUGUCCUUAAUUCAGACCACACAACUAUCUUAGUAUAUUUGCAUUGAUUAUUCUUAAGCUUCUUAUGUUCAUCAUAGCAACAUCCAUCUUUCUCCCAUUAUUUACCUUACUUUUCAUUCACUCUUUCUGUCACGACCCAAUUUCUAGAGCCAUGACCGGCGCAUGAGCUCAAUGAGCAUAGCUCACUAAGCCCAAGCAAGCCUAUCCAUUUGCCUUUGCUUACCAAAUUUAUCAUAUCAUGAAUACACACACAUCUUUUUUCAGGUGUGAACAUAGCCAAAACACAAUGGCAUCAUCGAUAAUAAUAUACAUGCACUAUACCAGUCAUGUAUUUAGCAAUUUAUAUUACAUACACAUAUUCACAUUGUUAGAUUGUAUUCACAAUACAAAAGGAUCCAUGACUUCCAGCGGAGAUAUUUACAAUAAAAAGAAGUACUAUCGAAUGCCAGACACGUACCCAGGAGAUGCACUACGGGGACUCCUCGAUCUAGGGUCCAACAGUCACCUGAUCUGAAAACAUAAAUUUUUAUAAAACGUGAGUACAAUACUCAAUGAGUGAAUAUUAGAAGGGAACAAGCAAUCUCAACCAGGAAAUUUGACAAUCAUGUUGCACCGGUUGAAAAUAAAGCCAUUUUCAUCUAACUACUAUUCCAAAUCCUUUUUCCCUUACCUAGAAAUUUAUUACGCAUUCAAGGAUUAAACAUCCUUGAAUUUACACCGAUUAUUCUAGCAAAGUAGUAAAACUGACGGUUAUUUACAAAUCGUCACAUAAUAAGGGUUUCACAACCGGUACAAUGCAUAUAUGCAUAUGUAUCACGUACAAUUUCAUUCACCAAUUGUUAUAUCAAGCAAGAUAGCAAAAUUAACGGUUUAUCACAAACCGUCACAAACAAGGGUUUCACAUACCACACAAUCACACAUAUAUACAUAAAGAUAUGAGCAAUUAUAUACACCGCCAAGUCUUCACUGUUCUUGGUGGUACAAAGAAAUAAUUAUCGGAGCACUCGGUAAGGGGUAUCACUCAGUAUCCCUCUUUGCACACCUCUGAAUUUCUAGGAAAUUGUGGGCGCUACGUAUCGCCGUCCCCACUUUGCACAUGCACAGUCGUAAUUAUCACAACCUUUAUCAUUAAACUGGCAUUUGUACUUCCCACUCCGCACAUGCACGGUCGAAAUUAUCACAACCUUUAUCAUUAAACUGGCAUUUGCACUUCCCACUCCGUACAUGCACGGUCGUAAUUAUCACAUCCUUUGUCAUUCAACUGGCAUUGCAGUUCCCACUCCGCACAUGCACGGUUGCAUCAAUUUCACCAUAAUUUAUCAAUAAUGCAUAUCAGCAUAAUACAAGGGUACACAGAUUCAAUACACUUAAUUUCACACAAUUUCUCGAUAAUACAUGUAGGCAUCAUACAUAUAUACACAUAUGCAUCGCAAUCAUAUUUAACAUCACAGAAAUAUUUUCACUAAAGGCUUGUUCUCGAGAUUCAUUUUUAAAUGGGAAUUAGAUAUAAUCAUUCACGCAUUUCAUUUCAACUUAAUUAGAAUUCCCAAAUAAAUUUUGAAAUGCAAAUUCACUCACAGGUGUCGAAAAUCUAGAUUCUGGGUGCACUCGAACUAAUAGUCCUCAAGCGUAAUUCUUUUGCCUUUUCCGAACGUCUCACUACCUUGACAAAUAACAAAGUCGAGAAAUUUACUAUAUUGUCCCUAAAUUAAUAUAAACUAAUUUAAAUUACUAAUGCUUGAUAUGUAAAUGCAAAAAUACGUUCGAUUACCGCUUAAUCGCGAUAUCGAUUAAAUUCGAUCGAUCACCCGAUUAUUGGCGAUUGUGUCCAAUUAACCUCCAAAUUAAUCCAUUUCUCCUCUAAUACCUUAAUUUACCACAUACCAUUUAAAUAAAGCCAAAUUUAGCAUUAGAGCCCUCACAGUUCCUUAUAGAAAAAUUUGGUCAUUUGGUGCACUAGCACCGAAAUUUUUUUCUACAUAACCGUUUCACCUUAAUUCAUCAUUUUCCAAGCCAUUUUGCUUGAAAUAAAAACAAUCCCCCAUUGAUAUUCAGCCCUCAUGGUUCGACCAACAAGGAACCCUAGAGAAAUUGAAUAUUUCUUUUGUGUUUUUGUUCAUAAUCGUGCUUAACUAUCCCUAAACAUUAACAUAGUCUAAAAUCAAAUUAUUCCAACAACAAUUCCUCUUCCAUAUCCAUUUUUCAGAAUUGAAUUCAUCAUGAUAACUCAAUAUUCAACCAUGGAAAUCAAGAACAAAAGAAUGGGUAAGCUAGGUAUCAAGGAGAAUUAAAGAAAUUUUAACUUACCUAGCUUGUUUCCUUGAUUUCUUCACUUUUUCUUUGAAUUUCCACCUAGGUUUUCUUGUUUUUCCCUUUGUUCUUCCUUUGUUCUUGUUGCUGGUUGCCUAGGCCGAAUAUGGUGAGAGAAUUGGGGAUUUAAUGGGCUGAUUUCUGUAGAAAAUAAUAAAUAAUCAAGCAUGCCACGUGUCACAUGCUUAUUGGCCCAAAUUUUUAACUUUUUGGCUUUUUCUUCUUAAUUUUCCACCACAAAUAUUCUGGUAUUUAUUCAAUCCUACCACAAUUAAAAUCCCUUGAUCUUGACAAGUGCUGGGGCGAAAAAUUUAUCGAUUUGCCCUCGGGGCAAAAAAAUUAUGAUUUUGCCUUUAUACUCCGAAAUGUACCAGAAUCACAUUAUUUCUACUUUUCAACCUCAAAUAACACUAAUAUUGAUCAAUAUUAACCAAUUGAGGCAAAAAUUGUUUUAUAAAAAUUUUCGUUUAGUCCUUUAGUGGUAAAAUUUCUAUUUUGCCCUUGUGCUCUAAAAAUAUCUGGAAUCAUAAUUUUUCACUGCUAAACAUCAUUUUAUACUCCAACAAUCAUAAUUAUAUUUUAUAUAAUUAUUCUUGAUCAAAUGUGAUCAAAUCUUGACUAGAAAUCUCCAUUUUAUCAUCAAAUGGUAAAAUAACCGUUUUGUCCCUAAUCGAUCAAUUUUCCUGAUGGACUCCAAACUGGACCUUGAACUCCGAAUCACCAUUCUAAGCCAUUUUGUGGGUUUCAAAAGUUUCAAUUUCCACUUAGAAUUCUAUUUGAACUAGUUCAAGGCUCGAUUUAACUUAGUUGUACCACUCGGUACAAUACCGUCUUUUAAUCGAGCUUGACAGGGUCUCACACUUUCCUUAGCCUUUAAUAAGGCUUAAUCUCUUGUCUCAUUUACCUACAUGUCAACAUAUAAGGCAAUAAAGAAACUUUUCAAUUCAUUCAUAUAAAUACUUUUCCAAAACCAUAAAACUCCAAUUAACGAAGCUUAACAUCAAGUCCAAAUGACCAUAAUUCAGCUCGUAAGUUUAGUUUCAUGCCCCUCACAUUUUAUUCAUACGUCCUAGACAUGAGGUGCUCCUAGCACUGUGGUGCGGUGGUUGCUAGGUUUGCUUAAUCAAUGCUAUUUGUCUACAUUUAAGGUUACUACAUUGAUCAUCCUUGACCGUUUGGUUUUCCUCCAAGCCUACGUCACAAUUUCCAUAGCCAUUUAUAUUCCCGUAGGUUUAUCAAAUAUAAUAGGCCAAGCCAAUAUUUUCAAAUUCAUCUCAUCCCUUAACACUUGUCACCAAUCAAUAAAUCCCACCUUAGGACAUCUUUCCAUAUUGUAUAAUGAAUUCACUGUGUACGUAUAACACCGCACACAUAAUUAUUCACUGCUUCUAGUAUUCCACAAUUCCUUAGUAUUCGUAACUAGUUGUCUUUCUUAUCUUAUAACUCAAAUAGUUUAACCACUUCAACUUAGUAUCAUCAUGAAUUUUGUCUAUCUUGAUUAUUCUACUUAUGCUCACAUCAUUACUUCAAAAUUCUAGAAUUUAUUCUUCCCCCAUUUCAUAAUUAUUUCCAAUAGUGUAUAUUAUGUCAAUUUGGUAUCUUAUAAUACCACCUAUGUAACCCACCAAGCAUAUUGUGUUCAAAUCUCAAAUCGCUAAGAACAAUUCUUUGUUUCCACCAAUGACAUGAGUAACUCCACAUAUACAUAAACACAUCCAUUUAAAUGUCGACAUCCAUUACCAUGUGUAAGAACCCCUUUCUUACUUUCCUCAAUUUCGACAUGACUACUCCACAUUUCGGUCUUUUGUGGUAUGCCAAGAUCAUCCUUUAGGCAUAUUCCACUACUAACAAUCGUAUACCUUUACCAUAACAUUUUAAUGCAACUUGAUUAGACAAUUGUUUCCAAAUAACUCUUAAAUACCUAAACAUCAAGUUGUACACCACUUAGUGUUAAGAUCUUAACUUUACUCACCAAUCCUUAACCAAUUACAUUUAUAAAGUGAAUGAUUUACUUAACUGUUGCAUUUCACCCUUGCGUCUAUAAAAUCAAAAUUUCUUAAACUUAAGAUGUAGAAACUCCUGCUUAGAACUUAUCCAAAAAUUGAUAUUUCCUAAAUCCUAUACCUUUGUGAAGAUCACAUUCGGAACUGAUCAUUUUUAUCAUAGAUUGCAUACUGAACCCAAUAGACUUUUAAAUUGAUCGUUAAAGCAAUUCGUAUCUCAAACUCAAGUAUAGAACUUAAUAUGGCAUUUAGACUAGAUUCGACAUCUCUUAGUCAUUUAACUUCAAGCUAUCAAAUCCACAACUAGUGCUUUAAUCCUUUGACCUCACGCAUAGCAUAACAAAGUUCAUGCUCCUCUUCAGAGAAAAUUUGUUUACCAACCUUUCACUUGAUGACCACACAUCAAUUAUAAUAGUCACUAAAUUUCACCCUUAAGCUAAUUCAUGUACUUAUAACUAUAAACCAUAAUAAUUCAAAUCGAGCCUUGGGAUCUUGCAAUUACUUAAUUGAAAUCAAAACCAGCUCCAUCUAAGCUCCUAUGCACAUAGUCGAAACUUAUACGCUUACAAAAUAUUUCAAAAGCCCACACCAUUUCUAUAGGGGCAUGACAAGCUUAUUUAACAUAGUGCACUUACCUUCAUGCACAUAAACAUCAGUUUACACCUUCCUCAAUACAUAGAUCUAUAAACUCCAAGUAAAUUACAACCAUCACUAUUCAUUCCAGUCAAAGUGCGCCCCUUAUUACCAUUAUCAUACGUGUUCCUUUAUAUUGACCUCAAUAAUAAUCCAAUGUCAUCCAAUUUCUUCUCAUUGACAAUUAUGGGCUUAAAUUAUAACUUCACUAAAUGAAUAAGUCAUUACGGACCUAUUAGUUCAGCUUCAAUUUCCUCCACCUUUAAUAAGAGGGAUUUGUUAUUACAUUAAACUUUCAUUACGAGCAUUUGUUUAAAAUCUUUCCAACAACAGCUCGUGUCUCCAGUGGCAUCUGAAAACCAGACAACGACACCACUUGUGACCUUUACAUAAUGUUAGCAAGAGGGUAGGUUACUAGGAAUAGGAGUUCAUAUAGCUGAUAAAAUAGCCAACAGUCUGAUGGUGCCAUGCCUAGCAACUAGUGUAAAGGUCUCAAAAUUAUCAACGCCAUAUACAUGUGCAUAGCCUUUAACAACUAACUUGGCUUUGUACUUGUUAACCGAACCAUUUGGAUUCAUAUUUGCUUUGAAAAUCCACUUCACAUGUGAAACCUCGACCUCCAUAGACGCGUAACUAGAGGUAGACUGAUGAGUGCAUCAAAUUCAUAUAUUUAAUGGGAGAUAAAUACCUAAUAAGUCUAAGUUGGACUACAUUUAGAAUCGAAUUUAGGUAUUUUUAUUUAUUUUAUUAGUUUAGUUUAAGUUAUGUUUAAAUGUUUAUUUUAAGUUAAUAAUGUUAGUUUUACAUUAUUUAUAUUUAUUUUAUGUUUUUAUAGGAGUAGGAUCAAAAAUAAUUUCAAUUGGUGAAGAAAGUGCAUAAUGGACUGUUGCUCUAUUGGCAUAUAUUUUGGUUUUUCAAGUAUAUCUCCCACUACAAAAGUUCAAAUGACAUGAUUUUUAAUUCAUUAGAAAGCUAAGAGGUAGGGCUACAACUUUGAUGUUUACCACUUUGCCCAAUUCUGAUUGGAAGGUGAAAGUACUGCACUAAAAGAAUAAAAAAGGGCUUUUUUGUAAAUUACGUGACACUUUGACUAACUUUAAAGAUAAAUAUCUAAAGUUUCAGCACUUUCUCCUCACUUCCAGCAGCUUCUUCUUCUUCUCCCAUCCUUUUUCCCUAUUUCAAGUUUUUCAUAUUCCAUGGAGGCCACAUGUGAGACCUUGAUCUUUAUAGACUCGUAGCUGGAAAAAGAAGCAAAAUCACAAAUUAGGGGUAAUUUCGUCAUUUCCUUAGUGAGCCUAUAGAAGUAUGCUUUCAAACAUUAUUAAGGCCUAAGUAGGCCUAAGGCAUAAAUGAAUGAUGAAAUAAUGACAAAAUGAUGAAGAAAAUAAAAAUAAUGAUGAUUUUUAAUCUAGGGGCAAAAUGGUCAUUUUUCAUCUCGAGUAGAAAUUUUUAAGUUUCGUGAACUCGAGAAUUUUUAGACUAUUGUGGACUUUGUCUCAGUGUCAAAAGGGUAAAAAGAUCGCACAAAGGAUUGGAGGAAGACAAAGCCAACUUGUUAAGGGCAUUUUUGUAAUUUAAGUGGAGUUUGGAUAAGCUUUAGCUAUAAAUAUCAUUUUCCAACAGUUUCUUCUCAUUUUUCCAGCAGCUUCUUCUUCCUCUUCCUCCCAUCUCACGUUUCUUUCAUCCUCCAUGGAAGCUUGUUUUGAAACUUCCAUAACUUCUCGCAAGUUAACUCCAAUUUUCAUGCUUUUGUGCGCUUUUUCAUAGAACCUUUUCUACUCUUUCACACUCUCACUUUAAAACCCUUAAAAAAUCUUACUUCCAUACUUCUUCUCACUAGCUAGGUGUUUUAGAAAGAGGAAGAGGGAGCUUCUACAAUAACUUGAAAACUCUUAGAAAAGGGGUUCAAUUAUAAAGCUACCAAGAUAAGUAGUGAAGUAGAGUUGAUUUUUUUGUGUUGAGAAUGGCUAGUGAUUAGACUUGUGAGUGUUUUGUAGUUGAGGUUGUUUAUUCAUUUUAGAGUGAUUAGGAUAGUGAAAAUAGAUAGUCACUUAAUAGCAAAUGGAAGCUGGUUAGGAGAUAGCUUUUAGAAUUUAUAGUUAUGUGAAUUGAGUUAAUUGUGAUGCUAAUGUGAUGAUAGGUUCCAACGAAGCUGCACUACCCCAUUUGGACCAUUAGAGGAAGUUGGAGUUGGG
rnacentral:lncRNA from 1 species